GAGCAAAAUCGAAGGUCCGAUUUCUUAAAGACUGGAUGGAGGGAGGGCCCUCACAACGGCCCUUAUGUGCCCCCACAGUCUUGUUAGGAACAAGAGGAGAACCUCAUCCUAACAUAAGCAAAGUCGAAGGCCCGAUUUUCUAAAGAUCGGAUCGGGGGAGAGGCCCUUACAACGGCCCUUAUGUGCUCCCACAGCCUUGUUAGGAACAGAAGGAGAACCUCGUCCUAACAAGAGCAAAGUCGAAGGCCCGAUUUUUUAAAGAUCGGAUGGGGGAGAGGCCCUUACAACGACCCUUAUGUGCCCCCACAGCCUUGUUAGGAACAGGAGGAGAACCUCAUCCUAACAUGAGCAAAGUCGAAGGCUCGAUUUUCUAAAAGAUCAGAUUGGGGGAGAAGCCCUCACAACGACCCUGAUGUGCCCUCACAGCCUUGUUAGGAAUAGGAGGAGAACUUUAUCCUAACACGAGCUGAAUCCGACUGUCGAGAACAAGGGAAAGACCUCAUCCCGAUGCAAACAAAGACUCGAUUGAUCGAC
rnacentral:lncRNA from 1 species